ensembl:lncRNA
CCCAUAGUCAACAUGUCCUGAUCGCAGAUGAAUUGGAAAAAUGUGAUGGAUGUCACUAACCUCAUCUACCUGCUGCACAUUCAGCUUUCACACAUUUCUACAAUUUAUAUUCAGCUUCAUUCCAUAUUGUGUAAACAUUUACUGAAUGUUUAAACAUUUCAACCUAACAGAAAAGAAGAGGACAAAGAAAGAAAGAAAGAAAGAAAGAAAAACUACCGUUCUGGUCUCUCUGCCUCAGAGAUUAGGAGAUUUGGUACUGUACUCAGUCUCCAUAGUAACUGCGAUGUGUUUGGGGUGCGCACACACACACACACACACACACACACUCCUGAACAGCUGGAGGCAAACCGGUACCUCAGGAGGCUCCAUUGCCAGAGUUUUUGUCUGAAUUGUGGCUGUUUUUAUUUUUCAUAUGAACAGAGACGUAAAGUUCUCAAUCCUGCACUCAUCUUCAUGUAGAAAUGUGUGUGAUUAUAACAGCUUUAUUAUUAUUAUCUUUCUAACAAGAUAAAUAAAUAUUGUGUCAAUAUAUAAAUGUAUAAUAUAAACGUAAAUAUUAUGUAAAUAGAUGAAAAUGUGUUUAUGUGUUCAUUCACUCCUCUGUUCAUGAUCUGUGUUAUCCAGGUCGGAGUCAGAGUCGGAGUCAGAGUCAGAGCAGAGUCAGAGUGGAGACAGAGUCGGAGUGGAAUCAGAGUGGACUCAGAGUCAGAGGGGAGACAGAGUCGGAGUGGAGUCAGAGUGGAGACAGAGACAGAGUCAGAGUGGAGUCAGAGUCGGAGUGGGGUUGGAGUCAGAGAGGAAUCAGAGUCAGAGUGGAGUUGGAGUCAGAGUGGAGUUGGAGUCAGAGUGGAGUUGGAGUCAGAGUGGAGUCAGAGUCAGAGUGGAGUCAGAGUCAGAGUGAAGACAGAGUCAGAGUCGGAGUGGAGUCAGAGUCGGAGUGGAGUCAGAGUCAGAGUGGAGUCGGAGUGGAGUCGGAGUCAGAGUGGAGACAGAGUCAGAACGGAGACAGAGUCAGAGUGGAAACAGAGUCAGAGUGGAGACAGAGUCAGAGUGGAGUCAGAGUGGAAGUGGAGUCAGAGUGGAGACAGAGUCGAGUGGAUGUUGGAGCGGAGUCAGAGUCAGAGUCGGCGCGGAGUCAGAGUCGGAGUGGAGUCGGAGUCAGAGUGGAGUCUGAGUCGGAAUGGAGUUGGAGACAGAGUGGAGUCAGUGUGGAGUAAGAGACGGAGUGGAGUUGGAGUCAGAGUGGAAUUAGAGUCAGAGUGGAGUCAGAGUCGGAGUGGAGACGGAGUCAGAGUCAGAGUGGAGUCAGAGUCAGAGAGAAGACAGAGACAGAGUCAGAGUGGAGUCAGAGUCAGAGUGGAGUUGGAGUCAGAGUGGAAUCAGAGUCAGAGUCGGAGUGGAGUUGGAGUCAGAGUGGAGUCAGAGUCAGAGUGGAGUCAGAGUGGAGUCAGAGUGGAGACAGAGUCGAGUGGGAGUCGGAGCGGAGUCAGAGUCAGGGCGGAAGUGGAGUCAGAGUGGAGACAGAGUCGAGUGGGAGUCGGAGCGGAGUCAGAGUCGGGGCGGAGUCAGAGUCAGAGUGGAAUCAGAGUCAGAGUCGGAGUGGAGUUGGAGUCAG